rnacentral:rRNA from 1 species
GGGAGACUGGGGGGGGUGCCUAAUACAUGCAAGUCGAACGCGUUGGCCCAAUUGAUUGAUGGUGCUUGCACCUGAUUGAUUUUGGUCGCCAACGAGUGGCGGACGGGUGAGUAACACGUAGGUAACCUGCCCAGAAGCGGGGGACAACAUUUGGAAACAGAUGCUAAUACCGCAUAACAGCGUUGUUCGCAUGAACAACGCUUAAAAGAUGGCUUCUCGCUAUCACUUCUGGAUGGACCUGCGGUGCAUUAGCUUGUUGGUGGGGUAACGGCCUACCAAGGCGAUGAUGCAUAGCCGAGUUGAGAGACUGAUCGGCCACAAUGGGACUGAGACACGGCCCAUACUCCUACGGGAGGCAGCAGUAGGGAAUCUUCCACAAUGGGCGCAAGCCUGAUGGAGCAACACCGCGUGAGUGAAGAAGGGUUUCGGCUCGUAAAGCUCUGUUGUUAAAGAAGAACACGUAUGAGAGUAACUGUUCAUACGUUGACGGUAUUUAACCAGAAAGUCACGGCUAACUACGUGCCAGCAGCCGCGGUAAUACGUAGGUGGCAAGCGUUAUCCGGAUUUAUUGGGCGUAAAGAGAGUGCAGGCGGUUUUCUAAGUCUGAUGUGAAAGCCUUCGGCUUAACCGGAGAAGUGCAUCGGAAACUGGAUAACUUGAGUGCAGAAGAGGGUAGUGGAACUCCAUGUGUAGCGGUGGAAUGCGUAGAUAUAUGGAAGAACACCAGUGGCGAAGGCGGCUACCUGGUCUGCAACUGACGCUGAGACUCGAAAGCAUGGGUAGCGAACAGGAUUAGAUACCCUGGUAGUCCAUGCCGUAAACGAUGAGUGCUAGGUGUUGGAGGGUUUCCGCCCUUCAGUGCCGGAGCUAACGCAUUAAGCACUCCGCCUGGGGAGUACGACCGCAAGGUUGAAACUCAAAGGAAUUGACGGGGGCCCGCACAAGCGGUGGAGCAUGUGGUUUAAUUCGAAGCUACGCGAAGAACCUUACCAGGUCUUGACAUCUUGCGCCAACCCUAGAGAUAGGGCGUUUCCUUCGGGAACGCAAUGACAGGUGGUGCAUGGUCGUCGUCAGCUCGUGUCGUGAGAUGUUGGGUUAAGUCCCGCAACGAGCGCAACCCUUGUUACUAGUUGCCAGCAUUAAGUUGGGCACUCUAGUGAGACUGCCGGUGACAAACCGGAGGAAGGUGGGGACGACGUCAGAUCAUCAUGCCCCUUAUGACCUGGGCUACACACGUGCUACAAUGGACGGUACAACGAGUCGCGAACUCGCGAGGGCAAGCAAAUCUCUUAAAACCGUUCUCAGUUCGGACUGCAGGCUGCAACUCGCCUGCACGAAGUCGGAAUCGCUAGUAAUCGCGGAUCAGCAUGCCGCGGUGAAUACGUUCCCGGGCCUUGUACACACCGCCCGUCACACCAUGAGAGUUUGUAACACCCAAAGUCGGUGGGGUAACCUUUUAGGAGCCAGCCGCUAAAGGUGACCAAA